AAAGUCUCCACCACCAUCCGGAACUCAGAUUCUCCUCAGACUCCGAGAAUGCGGGUCAGGGCGCCUGGAACCUUCCUUCUGCUGGUCUCGGGGGCCCUGACCCUGACCGAGACCUGGGCGGGCCCCCACUCCCUGAGCUAUUUCCACACCGCCGUGUCCCGGCCCGGCCGCGGGGAGCCCCGCUUCAUCGCCGUCGGCUACGUGGACGACACGCAGUUCGUGCGGUUCGACAGCGACGCCGCGAGUCCGGGGAUGGAGCCGCGGGCGCCGUGGAUGGAGCAGGAGGGGCCGGAGUAUUGGGAGGAAGAGACGCGGCGCGUCAGGGGCUACGCACAGAGUUUCCGAGUGGGCCUGAACACCCUGCGCGGCUACUACAACCAGAGCGAGGCCGGGUCUCACACCCUCCAGUGGAUGUCUGGCUGCGACAUGGGGCCGGCCGGGCGCCUCCUCCGCGGGUAUGAACAGUUCGCCUACGACGGAGCCGAUUACCUCGCCCUGAACGAGGACCUGCGCUCCUGGACCGCGGCGGACACGGCGGCUCAGAUCACCCGGCGCAAGUGGGAGGCGGCCGGUGAGGCGGAGGACUAGAGGAGCUACCUGGAGGGCGAGUGCGUGGAGGAGCUCCGCAGAUACCUGGAGAACGGGAAGGAGACGCUGCAGCGGGCAGAUACGAGGGAACCCCCAAAGAGUCACGUGACCCACCACUCCAUAUCUGACCAUGAGGUCACCUUGAGGUGCUGGGCCCUGGGCUUCUACCCUGCAGAGAUCACCCUGACCUGGCAGCGUGAUGGGGAGGACCUGACCCAGGACAUGGAGUUUGUGGAGAGCAGGCCUGCGGGGGACAGGACCUUCCAGAAGUGGGCAGCUGUGGUGGUACCUUCUGGAGAGGAGCAGAGAUACACGUGCCAUGUGCAGCACAAGGGGCUGCCUGAGCCGCUCACCCUGAGCUGGGAGCCGCCUCCUCAGUCUACCAUCCCCACCGUGGGCAUCAUUGUUGGCCUGGUUCUCCUUGGGGCUGUGGUCACUGGAGCUGUGGUGGCUGGAACUGUGAUGUGGAGGAAGAAGUGCCCAGGUGAAAAAAGAGGGAGUUAUGCUCAGGCUACAAGCAGCGACAGUGCCCAGGGCUCUGAUGCAUCUCUCGUGGAUCCUAAAGGUGAGACAAUGGAGGCCCAAAGUGGGAGGGGUGUUGAGGAGAGGGGACAUGACUGGAUUAUGGAAAUUCUUUGAUUGGGACAUGUUGAG